GAUGAACGCUGGCGGCGUGCCUAACACAUGCAAGUCGAACGGAAAGGCCCAAGCUUGCUUGGGUACUCGAGUGGCGAACGGGUGAGUAACACGUGGGUGAUCUGCCCUGCACUUCGGGAUAAGCCUGGGAAACUGGGUCUAAUACCGGAUAGGACCACAUUUUGGAUGGUGUGGUGGAAAGUUUUUCGGUGUGGGAUGAGCUCGCGGCCUAUCAGCUUGUUGGUGGGGUAAUGGCCUACCAAGGCGUCGACGGGUAGCCGGCCUGAGAGGGUGUACGGCCACAUUGGGACUGAGAUACGGCCCAGACUCCUACGGGAGGCAGCAGUGGGGAAUAUUGCACAAUGGGCGCAAGCCUGAUGCAGCGACGCCGCGGGGGGGAUGACGGCCUUCGGGUUGUAAACUCCUUUCGCUAGGGACGAAGCGUUAUGUGACGGUACCUGGAGAAGAAGCACCGGCUAACUACGUG
rnacentral:rRNA from 1 species